UAUUGGCACUAGUCGCCCGUGACAUCAAGAAACUAGUGAUUAUGCCAAACCACAGGGACAUAUCACAGUUUACUUGCUGUCGCGGGCGGUGCUGAGUUU
rnacentral:pre_miRNA from 15 species